AAUGCACCGGAGGCCUUGCUCAGCACACUGCCAACACGCUAAAAAUGUACACCAGCCUUCAAAGGGCCUUGCCUUGCCAGCACUGGCCACAGCUCCUCCUAGGCCCCACCGAGUGGCACGGGCCGCGGAGGCCUUGGAAGUAGUCACAGGAGACAGUGCCACCGCGUGGAAAUGGCGGGAAUCGCUGCUGGUCCUUGAGGAACUCAAUAGUCUAGGGAAAGGGCCUUCUGUUCAUUCAUCCAGCAGUCACGCCCUGGGGGCCCCCUGCUGGCCGGCGCUGGCCUAGGGCUGAAAAGAUGAAAGUCCCUAUCUGUUCAGUCUAGUGGAGGGGAGGGCGACGAAGAAGGAACUGGAAAGGGACAUGCACUGCAGCAGGGGCAAGCCGAUUGUGGGAGCCCGCAGGAAGCACCAGGCAGCUCAUAAGAGGCCCUUCAACCACCAUCAUCUAUGCAGAGCAUGAACCGAACCGUGUCCAGGCACAGGAGUACAGCCUAACAAGACGGAACUUAGCACUGCAGUGAGACAGUAGGAAAAUAGCUGAACUUCCAAGAAGAGUCUCCUUGCUUUUACCUGGAGUGGCACCACCCUGGACAUCAGGUGAUCAAAAUAAAGGUCCACUGCUUCGGUGAAGCCCUUUCUCCAAAGGCCAUGAGAGAAACCCAGCAAGAGACGCUGGAGGAGCCAGGACACUCAAGAGAGUUGGAGAGAAAGAACCUCAGCUAGGCCAACAUGGCGGAGAAGUAGGGCAACCCAUACUUCCUGCCACUCUCAAACAAAGAAGUGCAGAAGCCAAAGGACUUUGAACACCAGAGCCUGGGAGGAAAAGAGACUGAAUCUACUAGGAAGAAAAUGGGGAAGCUGGAAAGAAGAUAGGCGGGUAACUGCAAACUGGGGGAGAUAAAAAACAGCCACAUGGGCACGGAGCGGAGGCACUCCCUUCAACGGAGAGACAAAGGAAACAG